CGUGUAGGCGGUUCGGCAAGUCAGAUGUGAAAGCCCUGGGCUCAACUCAGGAAGUGCAUUUGAAACUGCCAUUCUAGAGUAUGGGAGAGGAGAGUGGAAUUCCCAGUGUAGAGGUGAAAUUCGUAGAUAUUGGGAGGAACACCCGUGGCGAAGGCGACUCUCUGGACCAAUACUGACGCUGAGACGCGAAAGCGUGGGGAGCAAACA
rnacentral:rRNA from 1 species